UUUUGUAGAAUGAACGCUACGAUGAUGGGGAUGUCGCCUAUUCGUGAAAUAGUGUUAAGCUCUUGCCGACUGAGCACUCUUAAAAGGUACACACAACUGUCCAACAGGAUCGCACGCCUUAGUAUGUAUAUGUAUCCAUAUAUAUAUAUAUUGCAAAAAAUGCUCAUGAUAACUUUUAAAGGAAAUCUUCAGCAAACUACUUAAAAAGCAAUGUAAUAUCUGAUAUCAAAUGUAAAUAAUAUUUGAUAUAUAUUUUAUUCUAUUGCAAUUAAGAUUCUCUUAUACAAUCCUUAAUUCUCUUAUGAGUAAUACGUAACGAGAGAAUGAGAGAAAAUGUAUAAAAAAUUGAAAUUGUUGUAUAAGCAACAAACAAAUAUCGAAAAUUCUUAUGCACUUAAAAGAAACUUAACCUAGUAAUAUCUUAAGAUACAUUUUGCAUUGAGGUAUAAGUGAAUGCAACUUGAAAAGCA